ACACACAGACAGAGCGCACCCCAACUGCGUGGAUGGACGGAGCAACUUAAGGACUUCCCUUCCUCACUCUUAUGGCACAUUUAUGAUUGGAUGCCUACCGGCUUGGCUUUUCUUCUCAUUUAUCAAGAGCUUUUUACAACGUGCCAACACUGAGCGGAUAUUGCUUUUGCGCAUCAAGGGAGCUGGAACAAGAGGGACUCUUCAGUGAACAUCAGGGAGCAACAGAAGUACAAGAGCCACAAAAACCAAGAUCUGUCUGCUGGAAUGUUCACGAUGCUCAACAAUGAAAUGAAGACCUAAAGCCAGAUAACCCAUGUUUGACCCACCGAACACAGACUGAAGAGUUGCAGACACCAGUGUUGUGUGCGUUGCUGGCCCUGUGUGUGUGUUUACAUACUGUGCUGAGAUUAAAGCACUUUGGAGUCAGGAACUUAUGUUCAAGAGCAUGGUCCAACUGUCCACCUCAGUCUACCUGCUGGGAGGCCUUUUGGGUAUGUCUUAUGCUGCAGCCACACGAGAAGGGCAACCAUGGCAACCAUGCGCGGGAAGUCUUCUUCGCUGCUUUUGGUGUAUUUUG